rnacentral:rRNA from 1 species
GAUGAACGCUGGCGGCGUGCCUAAUACAUGCAAGUCGAGCGAACAGACGAGGAGCUUGCUCCUCUGACGUUAGCGGCGGACGGGUGAGUAACACGUGGAUAACCUACCUAUAAGACUGGGAUAACUUCGGGAAACCGGAGCUAAUACCGGAUAAUAUAUUGAACCGCAUGGUUCAAUAGUGAAAGACGGUUUUGAUGUCACUUAUAGAUGGAUCCGCGCCGCAUUAGCUAGUUGGUAAGGUAACGGCUUACCAAGGCGACGAUGCGUAGCCGACCUGAGAGGGUGAUCGACCACACUGGAACUGAGACACGGUCCAGACUCCUACGGGAGGCAGCAGUAGGGAAUCUUCCGCAAUGGGCGAAAGCCUGACGGAGCAACGCCGCGUGAGUGAUGAAGGUCUUCGGAUCGUAAAACUCUGUUAUUAGGGAAGAACAAAUGUGUAAGUAACUAUGCACGUCUUGACGGUACCUAAUCAGAAAGCCACGGCUAACUACGUG